UGGGGAAUAUUGGGCAAUGGGCGCAAGCCUGACCCAGCAACGCCGCGUGAAGGAAGAAGGCUUUCGGGUUGUAAACUUCUUUUAAGAGGGAAGAGCAGAAGACUGUACCUCUAGAAUAAGCCACGGCUAACUACGUGCCAGCAGCCGCGGUAAUACGUAGGUGGCAAGCGUUGUCCGGAUUUACUGGGUGUAAAGGGCGUGCAGCCGGGAAUGCAAGUCAGAUGUGAAAUCCAUGGGCUUAACCCAUGAACUGCAUUUGAAACUGUAUUUCUUGAGUACUGGAGAGGCAAUCGGAAUUCCUAGUGUAGCGGUGAAAUGCGUAGAUAUUAGGAGGAACACCAGUGGCGAAGGCGGAUUGCUGGACAGCAACUGACGGUGAGGCGCGAAAGUGUGGGGAGCA
rnacentral:rRNA from 1 species